AAGGUUUUUGUUAAACAAGCUCCCACACAAAACGGAAGGGCUAUUACGACCACUCUUUCUCCCUCUAUCACCAUUGGUGAAUUGAGAAAAAGAAUUGAGAAGGUAAAAGACAUCACAAAGGACGAGGACUUUUGGCUUUUUCUUCAAUCUCAGGAUCCAUUGACAGAAUCAGAGAGCUUGGAACCUGCUUUUAAUGUUGUUUAUCU
rnacentral:ribozyme from 1 species